GACGAACGCUGGCGGCGUGCUUAACACAUGCAAGUCGAACGGAAAGGCCCUGCUUUUGUGGGGUGCUCGAUUGGCGAACGGGUGAGUAACACGUGAGUAACCUGCCCUUGACUUUGUGAUAACUUCAGGAAACUGGGGCUCAUACCGGAUAGGAGCUCCUGCUGCAUGGUGGGGGUUGGAAAGUUUCGGCGGUUGGGGAUGGACUCGCGGCUUAUCAGCUUGUUGGUGGGGUAGUGGCUUACCAAGGCUUUGACGGGUAGCCGGCCUGAGAGGUUUACCGGCGACAUGGGGACUGAGAUACGGCGCAGACGCCUACGGGAGGCAGCAGUGGGGAAUAUUGCACAAUGGGCGGAAGCCUGAUGCAGCAACGCCGCGUGCGGGAUGACGGCCUUCGGGUUGUAAACCGCUUUCGCCUGUGACGAAGCGUGAGUGACGGUAAUGGGUAAAGAAGCACCGGCUAACUACGUG
rnacentral:rRNA from 1 species